GAUGAACGCUGGCGGCGUGCCUAAUACAUGCAAGUCGAGCGAAUGGAUUAAGAGCUUGCUCUUAUGAAGUUAGCGGCGGACGGGUGAGUAACACGUGGGUAACCUGCCCAUAAGACUGGGAUAACUCCGGGAAACCGGGGCUAAUACCGGAUGACAUUUUGAACCGCAUGGUUCGAAAUUGAAAGGCGGCUUCGGCUGUCACUUAUGGAUGGACCCGCGUCGCAUUAGCUAGUUGGUGAGGUAACGGCUCACCAAGGCAACGAGGCGUAGCCGACCUGAGAGGGUGAUCGGCCAGACUGGGACUGAGACACGGCCCAGACUCCUACGGGAGGCAGCAGUAGGGAAUCUUCCGCAAUGGACGAAAGUCUGACGGAGCAACGCCGCGUGAGUGAGGAAGGCUUUCGGGUCGUAAAACUCUGUUGUUAGGGAAGAACAAGUGCUAGUUGAAUAAGCUGGCACCUUGACGGUACCUAACCAGAAAGCCACGGCUAACUACGUGCCAGCCGCCGCCGUAA
rnacentral:rRNA from 1 species